rnacentral:lncRNA from 13 species
CCACAUGUCAAGGGCAGGACCAGGUGGAGGUAAGUGAAUCAUGAGGGCGGUUCCUCCAUGCUGUUCUCGUGAGAGUGAGUGAGUCUCACGAGAUCUGAUGGUUUUAUAAGCAUCUGGUAUUUCCGCGGCCGCUGGCACUUGCUCACUCAGUCCUGCCGUCCUGGGAGGAAGAUGCCUCCUUCUUCUUUGCCUUCCGCCAUGAUUGCAGGUUUCCUGAGGCUUCUCCAGCAAUGCAGAACUGGAUUUGACCUUCUACAAUCAUGGGAAUAGCUUAAGCAGCCUCUGGAUGGCUGUAGCCUUUGCCUCUGGCACUGCAGCUCAAAGUCCACAUGCCAGAAAGUGAAGAUGGAUGUAAAGAGGGAUCAAGAACAAGUUAGAAUUCACGGCAUGAGUCCCACGCAGAUGGACCCAAAUCUAUGCCAUUUUUGAUUACUUGGUCCAUAGUGACAAGGAUAGCCUGCAGAACCUGGGACCCUGGGAAAUAAACACACAUGUGGUCAAGGCAUCAUAGAAGCUGGAAAAGGAUCCAUGAGAAAGGAGGAGAGCUGCAGCCUCAGCUGCUGCUUCAGAGCACUGAGGGGAGUCAGCAGAUCAGUAACAAUAUGAGUGAGCUACAGAGUGACUGUUCCUCCCUUCUACCUCCAAGUCUCUCACAGAAUGUUUCUUAUGGCCCACCCAAACCAGAAACAUACAAGGAGAGAUUUCUGAAAAAUGAAGUUCAUCUAGCCAAGCUGACAUGUCACAGAGCCACCACAGCACUCUUACUGGCUCAUAGAAGUAGCCGAGAGUCCGCAUUUAAUUUUAGAAAGAGUAUAAUCAUGGGAGAUGCUGAUGACGAUGAUGAUAAUGGCAAUAACGGCAAAAACUAUGGAAGCUACGCCCUUCUUUUUCCUACCUGAGCUUCUACCAUGCUUCUCCACCAUCUAGGACACCGAGAAAUAAAGUUUCCUGGAGGGCUUGGAUCUCCCUAUGG